rnacentral:misc_RNA from 1 species
GAAAGAUAUGAGCUGCAUCACGGGGUUCGCAUUUCAGACACUGCGCUUGUCGACGCAGCUAUUCUUUCGGACCGUUAUAUUAGUGGACGUUUUCUACCUGACAAAGCUAUUGACCUAGUUGAUGAAGCUGCUGCAAAACUGAAAAUGGAGAUCACCUCAAAACCUACAGCCCUUGACGAGAUCAAUCGUGCAGUUUUGAAGUUGGAGAUGGAGAGGCUAUCUCUAACUAAUGAUACAGAUAAAGCAUCGAAAGACCGGUUAAACCGUCUUGAGACUGAAUUGUCUCUUCUGAAGGAGAGGCAAGCUGAGCUGACUGAGCAGUGGGAGCAUGAAAAGAGUGUGAUGACUCGCUUGCAGUCCAUUAAGGAAGAGAUCGACCGGGUAAAUCUUGAGAUCCAGCAAGCAGAGCGGGAAUAUGAUCUUAAUCGUGC